CUUUUUCCUCCUUGUUAAAUCUGUUAUUGUAGACUAAAAUGCACUCAUUUCUGGUGCGAGAGAAUUUCUGGCUUAUGUACUACAUGCUAGCUCCCAAAGGAUAAAAUAAUACCAAAAAUUUGUAAAUCCAGCCAUGUGUGACACUGUGGUAUAUACAUAUAACUUAAUUUCAGUAGCCAUUACUAAUAUAGGCCAGAAUAAAGUUAUUAAGGUUUCCUGCUCAGCGUAACUUUAAUCAAAAAAUAACAAGUGCUUUUGAGUACUUCUCAUAUCAUUAAACCUGAUUGUGUUCUUCAGCAAAUGUUCUGGCUAGUCCUGGCAACUUCCCUUAUGUUCCAUAGAUUGAUCUCUUCCUGCAGACAUUUUCUUACUUAAAGUUCAAUCUGUUUUUUGCCAAAUGGGAUUAUGUAGGGUUUUUUAAAUCACGCGCAUAUGUGCUUGAGGUGGCUUUUAAGCAGUAGAUUGAAGUUUUAGGGUGUGACAUUUUUCAGAGAACUUUAGCAUAGAAGGCACCUGAACCUAACCUUGAUAAAGUUUGCAAAAUUUAUAUAGCCUUUGACGUAUUUGUGAUGUGUAUGAUGGUGUAACACUUCUGUUAUGCCCCCAUAAAACCUUUAGGAGUACAAACAUACAAUUUCUGAGCAUCCUUACAUUACAAGCAGACAACACUGCAGAUAUUUCAUAGUACCCAAUAAAUAUAUUUUUCCAGUUUUCAUCAUUAAAAUAUUUAUUUGGCCUCCAAAGCCUUAAAUAAGAAAAUUUAUGCAACUUUCCUGUCUGUGCGACAGAACUUGUGCACUUGUUCCCUCAAAAUAUGUAUUAAAAUCAUAACAGGAACUGGAGUUCUCCAUCCUACUGUGAUUUUCGCCUGAAAGUCUAAAAAAGCAGCAAGCAAACAAACAAAACCCUGUAAAUUUUAAAUUCCCUUUUCAAAUUUUCUGAGUCAAAUUCUUGUUCAUGAGUUUGUGUAAAAUUAGGAGCUCAUAGUUUGGCUCACUUUAUGAACAUUCCUUGACACUGAAAGAUUAUUUUCUGUAACCCUUAGCGCAGUGUGUGCAUGCAGGUCUCCAGGUGCCUGUGUUCACUUCCAUGAACAUAGGGAAGUAAAAUCGUGUUUUCACUGCAGAUAUACAUGUGGAAUCUGCACACAGUGAGCAUUGAACUGCAUGAAAACAAAGGAGUCUCUUCAUUCUUAGUUAUUGAAUCUUGUUACUGUUUAUAUAUUAGACCAAAAUGAACCAUCACACUUUUCUGUAGUGACCUUGAGGUGGCAGCAGCAUUACAUUCAAUUCUGCCAGACACCAAGUCCAUUAAAGGGGAAAGUAAAAUUUGCAAUAAAUCAAAAUAAUACUGAUUGUUAUAAUUUUAUUACCAGAGCAUUAAGUCAAUAAAACUUAUCUGAAAUGUCAUUUGCAUUGUACACAAUUUUUACUAGUUAUCAAGUAUGUUUUAAAAGCAUGUUUAAAGCAACCAAAUGAAGAAAUCAGUGAUAAAUUGUUGGAAAGCUGGGACUUGUCUAAUGAUGUAGUAAAACUAAAGUCUGUUUUGAUCUCUGCUAUUGUAAAAGACUGUUUCUGAAAGCAUUUGUUCGUACAGUAACAUCUUGGGUCUUGACUGACUGAUGUCUGAUUAAAUAUUUUCCUGCAAGUUGUCAGGUCCUUUUUCAUUCAUGAUUUUAUGUAGAAAGGUCAUCUAAUUAUAUGACACCCUUUCAGUGAAGGAGAAUGUGUUUGUUUCUUUUAAUAAUGAGGAAUAAUGAAACUUAUUUAUGUUGGAAGUCAGAGAAAUUUAUUGGAGAAUUACAACAUGAGAAACAUGAAAAUUAAAAAAACCCUUUUAAUAGCAUAUUCAUUACCAAGAAGCUCACAGGUAAUGAAAUAGUUGUAUGAAAGCCAGUAUAUUGGGUGAUAUAAUACUGCUCAUGUCAGUUUUCAGGUUAUGGUUGUUGGACAUUUCUAUGUUGUCAAUUACUAUUAGGUUACAAAAUUAUUAUUAGCUAAUUAGUCAAAAUAGGAGACACUAGAAGAAAAGGUUAAAAACAUUUGUUUUUUACAAACUUUGAAUCAGCUUCUGGCUGGGAAGCUGGUUGGUGUGUAGUAAUACUCCACAAUGAUCCUGGGGCGUGGGUUUUGUUGCCGCUGUUCUGCAAGACUAGCGCAAGUUUGGUCUGGAAGUCAAACGAGGUAUCUGUUACUCAAUUUAGUGAUGUUGAAAAAACAACAUUCAAAACUAGUUAUCAUAACUAAUGCAGGAAAAUAAUGUUACUAAUGUGUUUAUGUAACAGUUAAAAAUGGAUUUGAAGGAAACCCUUUGUCUGACUGCUGCUAAAGGAGUCCCAAUUACUGACUAAAGAUAGCUUAUGUAAUAGUUGAAAUAAUGCAGUGAUAAUUUAACAAAAAAUAAGGUUAUAUGUUGAUAAUUUAAGUUUGUCAUUUAUUCAAUAUUUAGGGGUUUAUGUUUAUUCUAAGACAGGACAUUUAGACCAGUUUACCCCUAUAUUCACAUUUCACUUGUUUUAUUUGUUGACCAGUUGUUCCUUGACAACUUUUUCAAUACCUCAUGAAAUACAAAUAUUAAAUAUAAACUAGUAUAGCAACAUCUAAACAAAAAUAUAAAUAUAUGUUGAAUUAUAGUUCCAGAAUGAUGUGUUAGUAGAUUUAAAAAGCAGAUGGAGAAUUACAAACCAGAAGCCAAACAGAGAUUACAACACAUGAAUACCAUUUGGGCUGUGCCAGUGGUUAUCACAGCCAAUACAAAUAGUAUUACUUCAACUAAGACAUAGAGUUGGUCUUUUACUUCUUCUGAUUAGUACUUUAUUUUUUUCUUUGUCACACUUUGAUGGUUUUUAAGCUGACUUCUAUGAUUUUACAGUGUCCAAAGUUAUGGAUGCGGCAGAAUAACCGAAGAAACAGUAUUCCUGUGAGGAAUGUAAUUCACUAUAUAAAUCAGUGUGGAAAUGUCAAAAGAGGUAGAGUAGAUUUGCUAUUGAAGGAGAAAGGAAGCAGUUGUCCCAAACUUCAAAGAUGGGUGGCCUUUGCACCUCUUCUGAAAUAGUAAGCAUCAAAGAGAAACCUCAAGAUGAAUGAAAAUGUAGCAGAUCCACAGGCAAUGUAGAUAGUGCUGAGCAAGGAAAGAGAAGUAGAAAGUACUCAUGAGCAUGGGAAAGUGGGAAGACUUGCAGAAAAUGUAAGAAGUAGGUAUGCUGAAAAUGGGGUUAAGUUCCAUUUUACUGGCAGACACAGUGGUUUUGUGUGUAGUUUUCAUUAAGUAAUUACAUGCAUACUAUACCGUUUGAUUUGCAAACGCAAACUGUAUCACAUGUACAAAAUAAAUGACUGUUCUAUGGAAAAUAUGGCCCUGAAUAGAAUUCGGGAAUGACAGUUCUUACAGUUUGGUGGAAUUAAGAGUUACAAUUCAACUAUGUAAUUAACUUCUUUGAAAUGAAUUUGUCACUAUGUGAAAAACAAGAAUAGGUAAUAUUGAAGUGGUUAAUACUAAAAUAAAUGAAAUGGGCAAGAACUGAUGUGCUCUAAUAGAGUAAAAAUCUAUCAGAGGUGACUGAAACAUGUUAGAAAUUAAAACAUUAAUAAUAACCAGCAGUACCCAGAGAGAAUGAAAACGUCAACAGAGUAAUGACAUUAAAUGUCCAAAAUGUUUUGUAAGAUGCUGAGUGAUACUUUGAGAAGAUACAGAGUGGCAGGAGAGGGCUUCAGGUAGAAAUGGAGAUGAAAAAUACAGGACAUUCUGAGAAUAGCUGAAGGCAGUGAACAUAUUAGGGGGAAGUAUCUUAUUCUGGCCCUGUUUUCUUCAUACCUUCUGCUUACACCCAGUGUUGGUGACAGAGUACUAUGUUAAAUUUCCUGUUGAUCUGCGGCUGUGACUUGAGCUUUAGAGUCUGAGUGUGCAUCACCCUGAAUGGUGUGUGAGUGAUGGAGAAUCCUUACUUC